GAUGAACGCUGGCGGCGUGCCUAAUACAUGCAAGUCGAGCGAAUGGAUUAAGAGCUUGCUCUUAUGAAGUUAGCGGCGGACGGGUGAGUAACACGUGGGUAACCUGCCCAUAAGACUGGGAUAACUCCGGGAAACCGGGGCUAAUACCGGAUAACAUUUUGAACCGCAUGGUUCGAAAUUGAAAGGCGGCUUCGGCUGUCACUUAUGGAUGGACCCGCGUCGCAUUAGCUAGUUGGUGAGGUAACGGCGCACCAAGGCAACGAUGCGUAGCCGACCUGAGAGUGUGAUCGGCCACACUGGGACUGAGACACGGCCCAGACUCCUACGGGAGGCAGCAGUAGGGAAUCUUCCGCAAUGGACGAAAGUCUGACGGAGCAACGCCGCGUGAGUGACGAAGGCUUUCGGGUCGUAAAACUCUGUUGUUAGGGAAGAACAAGUGCUAGUUGAAUAAGCUGGCACCUUGACGGUACCUAACCAGAAAGCCACGGCUAACUACGUGCCAGCCGCCGCGGUAA
rnacentral:rRNA from 1 species